CAGUCGCCGCGGGAAUACGUAGGUGGCAAGCGUUGUCCGGAAUUAUUGGGCGUAAAGGGCUCGCAGGCGGUUUCUUAAGUCUGAUGUGAAAGCCCCCGGCUCAACCGGGGAGGGUCAUUGGAAACUGGGAAACUUGAGUGCAGAAGAGGAGAGUGGAAUUCCACGUGUAGUGGUGAAAUGCGUAGAGAUGUGGAGGAACACCAGUGGCGAAGGCGACUCUCUGGUCUGUAACUGACGCUGCGGAGCGAAAGCGUGGGGAGCGAACAGGAUUAGAUACCCCCGUAGUCCCUGUUUCUUAUAU
rnacentral:rRNA from 1 species